UUCAUAAUUGCACUCUUAAAUGUAACAUCAUAGGAAUACAGUACACUUUAAGUUUCCAUAAUGAUUUAGGUGAUGAUUUAGGGAUUUGUGUCAUCAACAGUGCAUGGGAAGAUGUAUUUCCAGUGUUGAACGUGUACGUGAAAAUAAUGUUCUCUGUAUGAACAAAUGUCUUUUUGGGCAAUUAUUGUAUACGUAGAAACAUAAUUGGAAUGUGCAAGUGUAUGUGAAGUAUACAGUUUGCAUUGUUAUUUAUUGCCGUAUAUUAUGUGUAAAUAAUGUCUACCCUGGCCUGAGACAUCCAGUGUAGAUUAGUUUUGAUAUAGAAAUAAACUUAUUAGUUGAGUGACAUUUUAGCAAGAGA